UCCUACGGGAGGCAGCAGUGGGGAAUAUUGCACAAUGGGGGGAACCCUGAUGCAGCCGUGCCGCGUGUGUGAAGAAGGCCUUCGGGUUGUAAAGCACUUUCAGUUGUGAGGAAAGGUUGGUAGUUAAUACCUGCCAGCUGUGACGUUAACAACAGAAGAAGCACCGGCUAACUCCGUGCCAGCAGCCGCGGUAAUACGGAGGGUGCGAGCGUUAAUCGGAAUUACUGGGCGUAAAGCGCACGCAGGCGGUUCGUUAAGCUAGAUGUGAAAGCCCCGGGCUCAACCUGGGAUGGUCAUUUAGAACUGGCAGACUAGAGUCUUGGAGAGGGGAGUGGAAUUCCAGGUGUAGCGGUGAAAUGCGUAGAUAUCUGGAGGAACAUCAGUGGCGAAGGCGACUCCCUGGCCAAAGACUGACGCUCAUGUGCGAAAGUGUGGGUAGCGAACAGGAUUAGAUACCCUGGUAGUCCACACCGUAAACGCUGUCUACUAGCUGUGUGUGCCUUUAAGGCGUGCGUAGCGAAGCUAACGCGCUAAGUAGACCGCCUGGGGAGUACGGCCGCAAGGUUAAAACUCAAAUGAAUUGACGG
rnacentral:rRNA from 1 species